rnacentral:rRNA from 1 species
UACGUAGGGGGCUAGCGUUGUUCGGAUUUACUGGGCGUAAAGCGCACGUAGGCGGAUCGUUAAGUCAGGGGUGAAAUCCUGGAGCUCAACUCCAGGACUGCCUUUGAUACUGGCGAUCUUGAGUCCGGAAGAGGUGAGUGGAACUCCUAGUGUAGAGGUGGAAUUCGUAGAUAUUAGGAAGAACACCAGUGGCGAAGGCGGCUCACUGGUCCGGUACUGACGCUGAGGUGCGAAAGCGUGGGGAGCAAACAGG